rnacentral:rRNA from 1 species
GACGAACGCUGGCGGCGUGCUUAACACAUGCAAGUCGAACGGAAAGGCCCUGCUUUUGUGGGGUGCUCGAGUGGCGAACGGGUGAGUAACACGUGAGUAACCUGCCCUUGACUUUGGGAUAACUUCAGGAAACUGGGGCUAAUACCGGAUAGGAGCUCCUGCUGCAUGGUGGGGGUUGGAAAGUUUCGGCGGUUGGGGAUGGACUCGCGGCUUAUCAGCUUGUUGGUGGGGUAGUGGCUUACCAAGGCUUUGACGGGUAGCCGGCCUGAGAGGGUGACCGGACACAUUGGGACUGAGAUACGGCCCAGACUCCUACGGGAGGCAGCAGUGGGGAAUAUUGCACAAUGGGCGGAAGCCUGAUGCAGCAACGCCGCGUGCGGGAUGACGGCCUUCGGGUUGUAAACCGCUUUAGCCUGUGACGAAGCGUGAGUGACGGUAAUGGGUAAAGAAGCACCGGCUAACUACGUG